rnacentral:rRNA from 1 species
GAGUUUGAUCAUGGACUCAGAUUGAACGCUGGCGGCAUGCCUUACACAUGCAAGUCGAACGGCAGCACGGGAGCUUGCUCCUGGGUGGCGAGUGGUGAACGGGUGAGUAAUGCAUCGGAACGUAUCCUGGAGUGGGGGAUAACGUAGCGAAAGUUACGCUAAUACCGCAUAUUCUGUGAGCAGGAAAGCGGGGGACCUUCGGGCCUCGCGCUCUUGGAGCGGCCGAUGUCGGAUUAGCUAGUUGGUGAGGUAAAGGCUCACCAAGGCGACGAUCCGUAGCAGGUCUGAGAGGAUGAUCUGCCACACUGGAACUGAGACACGGUCCAGACUCCUACGGGAGGCAGCAGUGGGGAAUUUUGGACAAGUGGGGGCAACCCUGAUCCAGCCAUGCCGCGUGAGUGAAGAAGG